rnacentral:rRNA from 1 species
GGGGAAUUUUCCGCAAUGGGCGAAAGCCUGACGGAGCAAGACCGCGUGGGGGAAGAAGGCUCUUGGGUUGUAAACCCCUUUUCUCUGGGAAGAACGCAAUGACGGUACCAGAGGAAUCAGCAUCGGCUAACUCCGUGCCAGCAGCCGCGGUAAGACGGAGGAUGCAAGCGUUAUCCGGAAUGAUUGGGCGUAAAGCGUCCGCAGGUGGCAGUUCAAGUCUGCUGUCAAAGACCGGGGCUUAACCUCGGAAAGGCAGUGGAAACUGAACAGCUAGAGUAUGGUAGGGGCAAAGGGAAUUCCUGGUGUAGCGGUGAAAUGCGUAGAGAUCAGGAAGAACAUCGGUGGCGAAGGCGCUUUGCUGGACCAUAACUGACACUCAGGGACGAAAGCUAGGGGAGCGAAUGGGAUUAGAUACCCCAGUAGUCCUAGCCGUAAACGAUGGAUACUAGGUGUUGUCUGUAUCGACCCGGACAGUGCCGUAGCUAACGCGUUAAGUAUCC